rnacentral:snRNA from 1 species
AUUGCCUCUUGGCCUUUUUGCUGAGAUCAAGGUUUAGUCUCUGUUCUUAUCGAAUUAACUCUCGGUACAGUAAUUUCCUCUGAUGAGGUAGUGUAAACGAGUUUUGCCUACGCAGCAAGGUUGGAGACUUAAAGGCAGCAAGCGCUCUAAAAAUGUUCUAUUCUUGUCAGGUUUGCAUUGCUCCCGUUAAAUAUCGCACAU